rnacentral:rRNA from 1 species
AGGAUGAACGCUGGCGGCGUGCCUAAUACAUGCAAGUCGAGCGGUAAGGCCUCUUCGGAGGUACACGAGCGGCGGACGGCUGAGUAACACGUAGGAACGUACCCCAAAGUGAGGCAUAAGCACCAGAAAUGGUGUCUAAUACCGCAUGUGGCCUUAGGGCUAAAGCUCCGGCGCUUUGGGAACGGCCUGCGCAUGAUUAGCUUGUUGGUGAGGUAAUGGCUCACCAAGGCGACGAUCAUUAGCUGGUCUGAGAGGAUGAUCAGCCAGACUGGGACUGAGAACGGCCCAGACUCCUACGGGAGGCAGCAGUAGGGAAUUUUCCACAAUGGC